rnacentral:rRNA from 1 species
UACGUAGGGUGCAAGCGUUGUCCGGAAUUAUUGGGCGUAAAGAGCUCGUAGGCGGUCUGUCGCGUCUGCUGUGAAAACUCGGGGCUCAACCGCGGGCCUGCAGCCGAUACGGGCAGGCUAGAGUUCGGUAGGGGAGACUGGAAUUCCUGGUGUAGCGGUGAAAUGCGCAGAUAUCAGGAGGAACACCAGUGGCGAAGGCGGUGCUCUGGGCCGAUACUGACGCUGAGGAGCGAAAGCGUGGGGAGCGAACAGG